UCCAGAUUACGGACGGGCCCGUGCUCGCCGUACGAUCACGCCAGGAGCAGCGGGGAAGCCGGUGGGAAUCCGGCGCGGUCGCGCCACCGUGACCGGGCAUGUCUCGCCCGGAAGUCGGACCUCGGGCUGCUCGCCGACACUCU
rnacentral:ncRNA from 15 species